UAUUGUAUAUCUAGUUUUAUAUUAGGGCGCACUUGUACUACUAGUCGACACAAGCUAAUAAUUAAGGCGUAACCAAGUCGAUCUUAUCUUCAUCUCGCGCAUGUUGGAUCCAGUUGGUCUUCUUCGGUGCUGGUGAAGUUCGCUGGAGCUAGUGUUACGCUGCGCGUGGUGAUGUAGGGCUCGACAGCAAUUGGCGCUUGCUUGGAUCGAUCCGAUCUCCAAGCUGCACAGCAUACACAAGCAAGCUCUGUCACUAGAUGAAUACCCUCCUCCCCAAGCUUGCGGAGCUGGUGGUGGGUUAAUACAACUUGCAGAAGGGUGUAAAGGGAGAGAUCAAGGAACUCGAGAAAGAACUGACCUACAUAAGUGCAGCCCUCCGCAAGGUAUCUGAGGUGCCGGUAGACCAACUUGAUGAGCAGGCAAAGAUCUGGGCUAGCGACGCAAGGGAGCUAUCUUAUGACAUCGAAGAUGCUGUUGACACCUUCAUGUUGCGUGGCAAGGGCCGCGAGCAAGAAGGCCAAGACACAUUCAGCCUCAAGGGGCUCUUUGCUAAGGCCACCAAUUUGUGCAAGAAGGCCAACAAUAAUCAUAAGAUCCACAAUGUUAUUGAAACGAACAUGGCACCAUUUAUGCCAUUUCGAGU